AUUGAACGCUGGCGGCAGGCCUAACACAUGCAAGUCGAACGGUAACAGGAAGCAGCUUGCUGCUUUGCUGACGAGUGGCGGACGGGUGAGUAAUGUCUGGGAAACUGCCCGAUGGAGGGGGAUAACUACUGGAAACGGUAGCUAAUACCGCAUAACGUCGCAAGACCAAAGAGGGGGACCUUAGGGCCUCUUGCCAUCGGAUGUGCCCAGAUGGGAUUAGCUAGUAGGUGGGGUAAUGGCUCACCUAGGCGACGAUCCCUAGCUGGUCUGAGAGGAUGACCAGCCACACUGGAACUGAGACACGGUCCAGACUCCUACGGGAGGCAGCAGUGGGGAAUAUUGCACAAUGGGCGCAAGCCUGAUGCAGCCAUGCCGCGUGUAUGAAGAAGGCCUUCGGGUUGUAAAGUACUUUCAGCGGGGAGGAAGGGAGUAAAGUUAAUACCUUUGCUCAUUGACGUUACCCGCAGAAGAAGCACCGGCUAACUCCGUGCCAGCAGCCGCGGUAAUACGGAGGGUGCAAGCGUUAAUCGGAAUUACUGGGCGUAAAGCGCACGCAGGCGGUUUGUUAAGUCAGAUGUGAAAUCCCCGGGCUCAACCUGGGAACUGCAUCUGAUACUGGCAAGCUUGAGUCUCGUAGAGGGGGGUAGAAUUCCAGGUGUAGCGGUGAAAUGCGUAGAGAUCUGGAGGAAUACCGGUGGCGAAGGCGGCCCCCUGGACGAAGACUGACGCUCAGGUGCGAAAGCGUGGGGGAGCAAACAGGAUUAGAUACCCUGGUAGUCCACGCCGUAAACGAUGUCGACUUGGAGGUUGUGCCCUUGAGGCGUGGCUUCCGGAGCUAACGCGUUAAGUCGACCGCCUGGGGAGUACGGCCGCAAGGUUAAAACUCAAAUGAAUUGACGGGGGCCCGCACAAGCGGUGGAGCAUGUGGUUUAAUUCGAUGCAACGCGAAGAACCUUACCUGGUCUUGACAUCCACGGAAGUUUUCAGAGAUGAGAAUGUGCCUUCGGGAACCGUGAGACAGGUGCUGCAUGGCUGUCGUCAGCUCGUGUUGUGAAAUGUUGGGUUAAGUCCCGCAACGAGCGCAACCCUUAUCCUUUGUUGCCAGCGGUCCGGCCGGGAACUCAAAGGAGACUGCCAGUGAUAAACUGGAGGAAGGUGGGGAUGACGUCAAGUCAUCAUGGCCCUUACGACCAGGGCUACACACGUGCUACAAUGGCGCAUACAAAGAGAAGCGACCUCGCGAGAGCAAGCGGACCUCAUAAAGUGCGUCGUAGUCCGGAUUGGAGUCUGCAACUCGACUCCAUGAAGUCGGAAUCGCUAGUAAUCGUGGAUCAGAAUGCCACGGUGAAUACGUUCCCGGGCCUUGUACACACCGCCCGUCACACCAUGGGAGUGGGUUGCAAAAGAAGUAGGUAGCUUAACCUUCGGGAGGGCGCUUACCACUUUGUGAUU
rnacentral:rRNA from 1 species